AAGUCGUAACAAGGUUUCCGUAGGUGAACCUGCGGAAGGAUCAUUACCGUGGGGCUUCGGCCCCAUUGAGAUAGCACCCUUUGUUUAUGAGUACCCUUGUUUCCUCGGUGGGCUUGCCCGCCAUGAGGACAUUAAAACCCUUUGUAGUAGCAGUAACUUCAGUUAAUAAUAAAUAUUAAAACUUUCAACAACGGAUCUCUUGGUUCUG
rnacentral:misc_RNA from 1 species